rnacentral:rRNA from 1 species
CCUACGGGAGGCUGCAGUGGGGAAUAUUGGACAAUGGGGGGAACCCUGAUCCAGCCAUGCCGCGUGUGUGAAGAAGGCCCUCGGGUUGUAAAGCACUUUCAGUGAGGAAGAACGCCUGGUGGUUAAUACCCAUCAGGAAAGACAUCACUCACAGAAGAAGCACCGGCUAACUCCGUGCCAGCAGCCGCGGUAAUACGGAGGGUGCGAGCGUUAAUCGGAAUUACUGGGCGUAAAGCGCGCGUAGGUGGCUUGAUAAGCCGGUUGUGAAAGCCCCGGGCUCAACCUGGGAACGGCAUCCGGAACUGUCAAGCUAGUGUGCAGGAGAGGAAGGUAGAAUUCCCGGUGUAGCGGUGAAAUGCGUAGAGAUCGGGAGGAAUACCAGUGGCGAAGGCGGCCUUCUGGACUGACACUGACACUGAGGUGCGAAAGCGUGGGUAGCAAACAGGAUUAGAUACCCGUGUAGUC